AGUGAACGCUGGCGGCGUGCCUAAUACAUGCAAGUCGAACGAAGUGGCGCACGGGUGAGUAAUAUAUAGUUAAUCUGCCAUACACUGAGGAACAACAGCUGGCAACGACUGCUAAUAACUCAUAGUGUAGGAUGAGACUCUAUCGUAUCAGCUAGUUGGUAAGGUAAUGGCGUACCAAGGCUAUGACGCGUAACUGGUUUGAGAGGAUGAUCAGUCACAUUGGAACUGAGACACGGGCCAAACUCCUACGGGAAGCAGCAGUAAGGAAGAUUGCGCAAUGGGGGUGACCCUGACGCAGCAACGGCGCGUGGAGGAUGACACUUUUCGGAGCGUAAACUCCUUUUAUCAGGAAAGCGGUACCUGAUGAAUAAGCACCGGCUAACUCCGUGCCAGCAGCCGCGGUAAUUC
rnacentral:rRNA from 1 species